rnacentral:rRNA from 1 species
CCUACGGGUGGCAGCAGUGGGGAAUAUUGGGCAAUGGAGGCAACUCUUACCCAGCAAUGCCGCGUGAAUGAAGAAGGUCUUCGGAUUGUAAAGUUCGUUAAGUGGGGACGAAAGAAAUGACGGUAACCAAGGAAUAAGCCCAGGCUAACGACGGGCCAGCAGCAGCGGUAAUACGUAGGGGGCAAGCGUUGGUCGGAAUGACGGGGCGUAACGGGUGUGUAGGCGGUGUAGCAAGUUAGAAGUGAAAUACCUAGAGCUUAACUCAGGUGCUGCUUCUAAAACUGCUAUACUUGAGUGCAGUCGAGGCAAGUGGAAUUCCUAUUGUAGCGGUUGAAUGCGUAGAUAUUAGGAGGAACAUCAGUGGCGAAGGCGACUUUCUGGACUGUAACUGACGCUGAGGCACGAAAGUGUGGGGAGCAAACAGGAUUAGAUACCCCAGUAGUC